UGUGAAGGUUUAGCUCUCCCUCCCACGGG
rnacentral:piRNA from 1 species